rnacentral:rRNA from 1 species
GACGAACGCUGGCGGCGUGCUUAACACAUGCAAGUCGAACGCUGAAGCUUGGUGCUUGCACUGGGUGGAUGAGUGGCGAACGGGUGAGUAAUACGUGAGUAACCUGCCCUUGACUCUGGGACAAGCCUGGGAAACUGGGUCUAAUACUGGAUACGACAUGUCACCGCAUGGUGGUGUGUGGAAAGGGUUUUACUGGUUUUGGAUGGGCUCACGGCCUAUCAGCUUGUUGGUGGGGUAAUGGCUCACCAAGGCGACGACGGGUAGCCGGCCUGAGAGGGUGACCGGCCACACUGGGACUGAGACACGGCCCAGACUCCUACGGGAGGCAGCAGUGGGGAAUAUUGCACAAUGGGCGGAAGCCUGAUGCAGCGACGCCGCGUGAGGGAUGACGGCCUUCGGGUUGUAAACCUCUUUCAGCACGGAAGAAGCGAAAGUGACGGUACGUGCAGAAGAAGCGCCGGCUAACUACGUG